rnacentral:rRNA from 1 species
AUUGAACGCUGGCGGUAGGCUUAACACAUGCAAGUCGAGCGGAGAUGAGGUGCUUGCACCUUAUCUUAGCGGCGGACGGGUGAGUAAUGCUUAGGAAUCUGCCUAUUAGUGGGGGACAACAUUCCGAAAGGAAUGCUAAUACCGCAUACGUCCUACGGGAGAAAGCAGGGGACCUUCGGGCCUUGCGCUAAUAGAUGAGCCUAAGUCGGAUUAGCUAGUUGGUGGGGUAAAGGCCUACCAAGGCGACGAUCUGUAGCGGGUCUGCGAGGAUGGUCAGGCACAUUGGGAAUGGGACGCGGGCCAGACUCCUAGGGGAGGCAGCAGUGGGGAAUAUUGGACAAUGGGGGGAACCCUGAUCCAGCCAUGCCGCGUGUGUGAAGAAGGCCUUAUGGUUGUAAAGCACUUUAAGCGAGGAGGAGGCUACUUUAGUUAAUACCUAGGGAUAGUGGACGUUACUCGCAGAAUAAGCACCGGCUAACUCUGUGCCAGCCGCCGCAGUAACAC